UACGAAGGGGGCUAGCGUUGCUCGGAAUCACUGGGCGUAAAGGGCGCGUAGGCGGCUUUGUAAGUCGGGGGUGAAAGCCUGUGGCUCAACCACAGAAUUGCCUUCGAUACUGGCAAUCUUGAGUCCGGAAGAGGUGAGUGGAACUCCUAGUGUAGAGGUGGAAUUCGUAGAUAUUAGGAAGAACACCAGUGGCGAAGGCGGCUUACUGGUCCAUUACUGACGCUGAGGUGACGAAAGCGUGGGGAGCAAACAGG
rnacentral:rRNA from 1 species